UACGUAGGGUGCAAGCGUUAAUCGGAAUUACUGGGCGUAAAGCGUGCGCAGGCGGUUGUGCAAGACAGAUGUGAAAUCCCCCGGGCUCAACCUGGGAAUUGCAUUUGUGACUGCACGGCUAGAGUGUGUCAGAGGGGGGUAGAAUUCCACGUGUAGCAGUGAAAUGCGUAGAGAUGUGGAGGAAUACCGAUGGCGAAGGCAGCCCCCCUGGGUCAAGACUGACGCUCAUGCACGAAAGCGUGGGGGAGCAAACAGG
rnacentral:rRNA from 1 species